AACGGCCAUACCAUACUGAAAACACUGUUUUUCGUCUGAUCCCCGCAGUUAAGCAGCUUCGGGAGCUGUCAGUCCUUGGGAGGGCGAUCACCUGGGAAAACCGCGUGCUGUUU